UUAUAUUUUUCGUUUGUUUUUCUAUUGCUUUAAACCUUCUUCGGAUAGGCUGUCAUGUUUUCUGCUGCACUCAUUACCACAUAGCGUGGUAAGUGUCAGGUUAAACGGCCCCAACUAACCACUUAUUUUUGUUUGAAAGAGUGGAGCUGCCUGUCGAUCGUUUAUUUUUUGACAAUAUUUAUGCGAAAAACUACAGAAACAAGCUCAGUAGCAAAAAGUUUAAUAAGCCUAGUCAAUGUGCCCUUAAACAGGAAAACAAUUAAAAUUAGGUUAUUGGGCUUGGCAUGUACUUCCAUGUUUAACGGAAUAUGAAAUUGUGACGUUUUAUGAUUAUAUCCAUAGACUGUAACCGAGACGUUGCUUUUCGGGUGGAUUCUUCUGGAAGCGUUGGAUCUGCAAAUUUCAAUACAGCCUUAGGAUUUAUAAAGACGUCGUUGCGGGUUUACCUAUUGGACCUAUGGGCACGUUAACAUCAAUGAUGACUUUCAAUACGACCCCAAAUCUGACAACAAAACAGGAAACUACAAAUGCCCUGGCAAGCGUUCCUUAUCAUUCCGGUGGUACACGCACUGAUCUCGCCUUACAUAGUGCAAGUACACAACUAUUUACACCCGAACACGGCGACAGAACGCAUGCAAAUAACGUCGUCAUUGUUUUGACAGAUGGAAAGUCGAAUAUGCUAAGCGAAACGGUAAAACAGGGCAAAGCUCUACACACAAUUAGUCAUGAUGUCAUCACCGUCUUUGUUGGUACAGAACCUGAUAUGCAUGAGUUGCAGACGAUCGCUACAGACCAACACAACGUUUUCACAUUGCACAAUAUCCCACUCCUUUCUUCGCUGCAAUCCCAGAUUCACCACCUGAUUUGCAAUGGU